rnacentral:rRNA from 1 species
UAACCUGCUAAAUAGCCCGGUCAGCUUUGGCUGGCCGCCGGCUUCUUAGAGGGACUAUCGGCUCAAGCCGAUGGAAGUUUGAGGCAAAAACAGGUCUGUGAUGCCCUUAGAUGUCCUGGGCCGCACGCGCGUUACACUGACAGAGACAACGAGUUCAUCACCUUGGCCGAAAGGUCCGGGUAAUCUUGUUAAACCCUGUCGUGCUGGGGAUAGAGCAUUGCAAUUAUUGCUCUUCAACGAGGAAUGCCUAGUAAGCGCAAGUCAUCAGCUUGCGUUGAUUACGUCCCUGCCCUUUGUACACACCGCCCGUCGCU